rnacentral:rRNA from 1 species
UACGAAGGGGGCUAGCGUUGUUCGGAAUUACUGGGCGUAAAGCGCGCGCCGGCGGUUCUUCAAGUCAGAGGUGAAAGCCCAGAGCUCAACUCUGGAAUGGCCUUUGAGACUAGAGAACUAGGGUACGGGAGAGGUGAGUGGAAUUCCGAGUGUAGAGGUGAAAUUCGUAGAUAUUCGGAAGAACACCAGUGGCGAAGGCGGCUCACUGGCCCGUUACCGACGCUCAGGCGCGACAGCGUGGGGAGCAAACAGG